rnacentral:rRNA from 1 species
UACGGGGGGGGCAAGCGUUGUUCGGAAUUACUAGGCGUAAAGGGCUCGUAGGCGGCCAACUAAGUCAGACGUGAAAUCCCUCGGCUUAACCGGGGAACUGCGUCUGAUACUGGAUGGCUCGAGUUUGGGAGAGGGAUGCGGAAUUCCAGGUGUAGCGGUGAAAUGCGUAGAUAUCUGGAGGAACACCGGUGGCGAAGGCGGCAUCCUGGACCAACACUGACGCUGAUGAGCGAAAGCCAGGGGAGCAAACGGG